rnacentral:lncRNA from 1 species
AAGGAGUUCAAUCCCCAUAGCUUUUCAGUGCCAUUUCUCAGGUCCCAACAGGUUCACUGAUUUGCCAAGAAGAAGCACCAAUGGGUCAGAGGCUGAGCGUGAACGGAAUUCAUUCUCCCGAUGCCAGGGUCCCUCCCUCACCUCCCACUGCUCAGUAGACAGGUCUCUCUGCAGAAGGGAAAAGGGAGGGUUGAGGGUUUAGAGGGUUUAGACAGUGAAAAGGCAGGAAGAGUAAUCAUGACAGAAGAGAUUUACUGCAGCCUUCUUCUCCUUUCUUUUUGCAUUAAGGACAAGCGUCGCCUGCACACGUCAGCACAAAUGGGAACAUGAUGAGGUACCACUUUUUCCAAGGCUGUGACCAGCUCCUCAGGGCAGCAGGCGAAGCUGUCCCUCUGAGUUAGCCUUUGAAGUUUUCCUCAAAUCUCUUGCUGCAGGGAAGCCAAGCCAGUCAACCCUAGGCUUCCACUGGGAGCUAUAUUCCUUCCUUCCUUCAUUCAUUCCCCAAAUAUUUUUCAAGGGUCCACCAUGUGCCAGGCAUUGUGCUAAAAGUGUUUUGUGUAGGUUCAAGUGAGGCCUGCGGGGUGACCAGCUAUCCCAGUUUCCCUGGCAUGAGAGACUUUCUGUGUGCAAACUAAGACAGCUGGUCGCCCUACUUUGGGCGUGAGCUUAGCAUGCAGUGUAACUUUCUGUACAGAGUGUAAUUCUUAAGAAUCACGCCAAGAUCACCUUCCUUGCUAAAAUGAACAUUCUCAGGCUCCACUCCAUACCAGUGAUUCCAAAUCCUCUGAGGCUGGAAACCUAUGUUGAAUCAGUUCCCCUAAGCUAUUAUUAUGCGUAUUUAAGUUUGAGAACAGCUGAACUAGUGCUUAAGGGUACGAACUUUAAAGCCACUCAUGCAUGAAUUCAAAUUCCACUCUCACCAUUAAACAUCUAUGCACGUUUUUACAAAUUGCUUAAUCAAUAUGGGCUCUAAUUUCCUUAUUCGUAAAAUGGGUCUCAUAAUACUAUUUUCAUUGUGUUCUUGAGUGAUGCUGCCUGGAGUUAAAGGAGGCCAGGAGCACCAGAAGCUGGAGGAGGCCGGGGUGGAUUCUCGCCUGGAGGCUUCAGUGGGAGCACGAGCUCCCGACACUUCGGUUCCAUCUCUUGUUUAAAGGCACCCAGUUUCUCAUCAUUUGUUACAGCACCAUGGAAAACCCACACACAAGUGAAGCCCCGACCCACCUCCCAAGUGCCCAUCUGAGCACCCCUCGUGGACUCUGAGCAGGGGGUUGCCAUCACCAACUCCAAGUCUUGCAGCCCCUCUUCCCUUCAGUCUGGCUGCCACCUUCUUCAUUGCCCUGGAAAAAAAUAAUGAAGUUUCACCAUUUAAAGGGUUUCAGUGCAGCUUGCUAUGGGAACACUGGAGAGUAACACAAAUGGCCAAUUGUCCUAAUAGCCACCAUGGAUUGGAUGGAUGCUAACAACAGGCUCACAGUUCUCCUUCUGUUGCCUCCUUUUAUCCACAUGAGAAUCAAACAAGUAGGUGCUGCUGGUAUUACUGUAUUUUUCUCAUUUUAAAGAUCAGGAUGGGGAGGGUUGAGGAGGUUAAGGAAGUUGUUAGAAGUUACACUGAAGUUAAGAAAGGAAAAAGGACUUAGAAACUUAUUCUUCCAACUUUAGAACCACGGUCAGUGACCAAGGCCCUGCUUAGAACUUUCUGAAGGUUGCAGCUGGCCUUCUACCUGGAGUUUUGACUUCCUUUCCGAGAAAGGAACUUGAAUGGCAAUCACAAGAAAGUUGAGAACUUCUCUUUCAUAUUUUAA